rnacentral:rRNA from 1 species
UACGAAGGGGGCUAGCGUUGGUCGGAUUUACUGGGCGUAAAGCGCACGUAGGCGGCUUGUUAAGUCGGGGGUGAAAUCCUGGAGCUCAACUUCAGAAUUGCCUUCGAUACUGGCUUUCUAGAGGCUGGAAGAGGUUAGUGGAAUUCCCAGUGUAGAGGUGAAAUUCGUAGAUAUUCGCAAGAACACCAGUGGCGAAGGCGGCUUACUGGUCCGGAUCUGACGCUGAGGCGCGAAAGCGUGGGGAGCAAACAGG